rnacentral:miRNA from 1 species
CACCUUCUCUAAUCCUGUCU